GAAUAGGGGAGCCGGAGGGAAACCGAGUCUUAAUUGGGCGUUAAGUUGCAGGGUAUAGACCCGAAACCCGGUGAUCUAGCCAUGGGCAGGUUGAAGGUUGGGUAACACUAACUGGAGGACCGAACCGACUAAUGUUGAAAAAUUAGCGGAUGACCUGUGGCUGGGGGUGAAAGGCCAAUCAAACCGGGAGAUAGCUGGUUCUCCCCGAAAGCUAUUUAGGUAGCGCCUCGUGAAUUCAUCUCCGGGGGUAGAGCACUGUUUCGGCUAGGGGGCCAUCCCGGCUUACCAACCCGAUGCAAACUGCGAAUACCGGAGAAUGUUAUCACGGGAGACACACGGCGGGUGCUAACGUCCGUCGUGAAGAGGGAAACAACCCAGACCGCCAGCUAAGGUCCCAAAGUCAUGGUUAAGUGGGAAACGAUGUGGGAAGGCCCAGACAGCCAGGAUGUUGGCUUAGAAGCAGCCAUCAUUUAAAGAAAGCGUAAUAGCUCACUGGUCGAGUCGGCCUGCGCGGAAGAUGUAACGGGGCUAAACCAUGCACCGAAGCUGCGGCAGCGACACUGUGUGUUGUUGGGUAGGGGAGCGUUCUGUAAGCCUGUGAAGGUGUGUCGUGAGGCAUGCUGGAGGUAUCAGAAGUGCGAAUGCUGACAUAAGUAACGAUAAAGCGGGUGAAAAGCCCGCUCGCCGGAAGACCAAGGGUUCCUGUCCAACGUUAAUCGGGGCAGGGUGAGUCGACCCCUAAGGCGAGGCCGAAAGGCGUAGUCGAUGGGAAACGGGUUAAUAUUCCCGUACUUGGUGUUACUGCGAAGGGGGGACGGAGAAGGCUAUGUUGGCCGGGCGACGGUUGUCCCGGUUUAAGCGUGUAGGUGUGUGUUCCAGGUAAAUCCGGUUCACUUUAACACUGAGGCGUGACGACGAGGCACUACGGUGCUGAAGCAACAAAUGCCCUGCUUCCAGGAAAAGCCUCUAAGCAUCAGGUAACAUCAAAUCGUACCCCAAACCGACACAGGUGGUCAGGUAGAGAAUACCAAGGCGCUUGAGAGAACUCGGGUGAAGGAACUAGGCAAAAUGGUGCCGUAACUUCGGGAGAAGGCACGCUGACACGUAGGUGAAGUGAUUUACUCAUGGAGCUGAAGUCAGUCGAAGAUACCAGCUGGCUGCAACUGUUUAUUAAAAACACAGCACUGUGCAAACACGAAAGUGGACGUAUACGGUGUGACGCCUGCCCGGUGCCGGAAGGUUAAUUGAUGGGGUCAGCGCAAGCGAAGCUCCUGAUCGAAGCCCCGGUAAACGGCGGCCGUAACUAUAACGGUCCUAAGGUAGCGAAAUUCCUUGUCGGGUAAGUUCCGACCUGCACGAAUGGCGUAAUGAUGGCCAGGCUGUCUCCACCCGAGACUCAGUGAAAUUGAACUCGCUGUGAAGAUGCAGUGUACCCGCGGCAAGACGGAAAGACCCCGUGAACCUUUACUAUAGCUUGACACUGAACAUUGAGCCUUGAUGUGUAGGAUAGGUGGGAGGCUUUGAAGUGUGGACGCCAGUCUGCAUGGAGCCGACCUUGAAAUACCACCCUUUAAUGUUUGAUGUUCUAACGUGGACCCGUUACCCGGGUUGCGGACAGUGUCUGGUGGGUAGUUUGACUGGGGCGGUCUCCUCCUAAAGAGUAACGGAGGAGCACGAAGGUUGGCUAAUCCUGGUCGGACAUCAGGAGGUUAGUGCAAUGGCAUAAGCCAGCUUGACUGCGAGCGUGACGGCGCGAGCAGGUGCGAAAGCAGGUCAUAGUGAUCCGGUGGUUCUGAAUGGAAGGGCCAUCGCUCAACGGAUAAAAGGUACUCCGGGGAUAACAGGCUGAUACCGCCCAAGAGUUCAUAUCGACGGCGGUGUUUGGCACCUCGAUGUCGGCUCAUCACAUCCUGGGGCUGAAGUAGGUCCCAAGGGUAUGGCUGUUCGCCAUUUAAAGUGGUACGCGAGCUGGGUUUAGAACGUCGUGAGACAGUUCGGUCCCUAUCUGCCGUGGGCGCUGGAGAACUGAGGGGGGCUGCUCCUAGUACGAGAGGACCGGAGUGGACGCAUCACUGGUGUUCGGGUUGUCAUGCCAAUGGCACUGCCCGGUAGCUAAAUGCGGAAGAGAUAAGUGCUGAAAGCAUCUAAGCACGAAACUUGCCCCGAG
rnacentral:rRNA from 2 species